AGUCUGGUGCCAGCAGCCGCGGUAAGUCCAGCUCUAGUAGUGUAUACUAAAUUUGCUGCGUUUGAAACGCUCGUAGUUGGAAUUCGGAGUGGCGAUGAUUGAAUGAGUUCUCUUCGGAGGAUUUGUUUAGUUUUCAGAAAAGAUGUUAUCUUUUUUGGACCACUCAAUUAAUUCUGAAGACCUGGUUCUGGUCUUAACUGAUUGGAAUCAUUCAGGGAUUCAGAUCGUUUACUGUGAAAAAAUUAGAGUGUUCAAAGCAGGCGUUUACAGCCUUGAAUACAUUAGCAUGGAAUAAUAGAAAAGGACUUUUGUCCAUACUUGUUGGUUGUUUCGGGACGAAAGGAAUGAUUAAUAGGGACAGACGGGGGCAUCAGUACUUCAUAGCUAGAGGUGAAAUUCUCAGAUUUAUGAAAGACUAACUACUGCGAAAGCAUUUGCCUAGCAUGUUUUCAUUGAUCAAGAACGAAAGUCGGGGGAUCGAAGACGAUCAGAUACCGUCGUAGUCUCGACUAUAAACGAUGCUGACUUGGGAUUGGUCGAUGCUCUUUUUAGGACUCGAUCAGCACCAUGCGAGAAAUCAAAGUGUUGGAGUUACGGGGGGAGUAUGGCCGCAAGACUGAAACUUAAAGGAAUUGGCGGGAAGGCACACAAGGCGUGGAGCCUGCGGCUCAAUUUGACCCAACACGGGGAAACUUACCAGGGCCAGAUGUUGGAAGGAUUGACAGAUUGAGAGCUCUUUCUUGAUUCAACAAGUGGUGGUGCAUGGCCGUUCUUAGUUGGUGGAGUGAUUUGUCGGCUUAAUUGCGAUAACGAACGAGACCUCAGCCUGCUAACUAGAUGGGGGAAUUCGUUAGAAUUCUUUGAUGUUCGCAAGAACAUGCCAUUCUUCUUAGAGGGACAAUUCGUGUAAGCGAAUGGAAGUUGAGGCAAUAACAGGUCUGUGAUGCCCUUCGAUACCCUGGGCCGCACGCGCGCUACACUGAUAGAUUCAACGAGUUGUAUCCUUGGUUGAGAAACCUGGGAAAUCGUGAAAUCUCUAUCGUGAUGGGGAUUGAGUGCUGGAACUGCACUCAUGAACGAGGAAUGCCUAGUAAGCGUGAGUCAUCAGCUCGCGUUGAUUACGUCCCUGCCCUUUGCACACACCGCCCGUCGCUUCUACCGAUUGAAUGGUCCGGUGAAGACUUCAGACUGUUCUAGAUCCUCGCAAGAGAGUCUGGAAUGGAAAGUUGUCUAAAUCGUAGCAUUUAGAGGAAGAAGAAGUCGU
rnacentral:rRNA from 1 species